AGUGAACGCUGGCGGUAGGCCUAACACAUGCAAGUCGAACGGCAGCACAGUAAGAGCUUGCUCUUACGGGUGGCGAGUGGCGGACGGGUGAGGAAUACAUCGGAAUCUACUUUUUCGUGGGGGAUAACGUAGGGAAACUUACGCUAAUACAGCAUACGACCUACGGGUGAAAGCAGGGGAUAUUCGGACCUUGCGCGAUUGAAUGAGCCGAUGUCGGAUUAGCUAGUUGGCGGGGUAAAGGCCCACCAAGGCGACGAUCCGUAGCUGGUCUGAGAGGAUGAUCGGCCACACUGGAACUGAGACACGGUCCAGACUCCUACGGGAGGCAGCAGUGGGGAAUAUUGGACAAUGGGCGCAAGCCUGAUCCAGCCAUACCGCGUGGGUGAAGAAGGCCUUCGGGUUGUAAAGCCCUUUUGUUGGGAAAGAAAAGCAGCAGGUUAAUACCCCGCUGUUCUGACGGUACCCAAAGAAUAAGCACCGGCUGACUUCGUG
rnacentral:rRNA from 1 species